GCCCGUUUGGCUUAGUGGUACAGCGUCUCACUCGUAUACUUCUACGUUAUGAGAAGAUCCUCGGUUCGAUUCCGAGAAUGGGCA
rnacentral:tRNA from 1 species